rnacentral:rRNA from 1 species
CAUAAAAAGCCUAUGAUAUAGUCCGACCUCUAUGGAGACAUAGAGAGCGCAGCAGAAAUGUCUGCGUCUUCUGAAAAUUAUCAGAAUGUAACAAAUGUGAACUGUUCUAAGGUAGCGAAGUACCUUGUCACUUAAUUGGUGACGCGCACGAAAGGUUUAACGAGCGAAACACUGUCUUGAACUAGUACUCGGUGAAAUUGAACGGGCCGUGAAUAUGCGGUCUACUGACGGCAGGACAAAAAGACCCCGUAGAGCUUUACUGUAGCUUGAUACUGGUGCUUUAUUCAAAAUUGUCUAGAAUAGGUGGGAGCUUUGCUACUUGGUAGCAGAGCGCCAGUGUAAUACCACUCGUUUUGUAUAGAGUAUCUAACCUAAGGCCAAUGCAAACUUGGUCAGGGACAAUGUCAGGUGGGCAGUUUAACUGGGGAGGUUGCUUGCUAAAAGGUAACGCAAGCGCGCAAUGGUACCCUUAGCCUGGAUGGAAAUCAGGCUGGACGUGCAAUAGCAGAUGGGUGCUUGACUGUGAGGCAUACAAGCCGAGCAGGUGCGAAAGCAGGUUAUAGUGAUCCUCGUGCACUUUGUGGAAGGUGCCGGGCUUAUCGGAUAAAAGCUACCUCGGGGAUAACAGAGUCAUCACGCCUAAGCGUCCCUAGCGUCGGCGUGGUUUGCUACAUCGACAUUGGUGUCCCAAUGCAGUAAUGCGUUGGUGCUGUUCUUGAGACACAAAACUUAAAGUGUCUACAAGAUAAACAUGGGCUCAUAACGGUGAACCCUAAGUUUUUGAUUAUUAUUGAAGAAAGUGUUGGUAAUGAUUUCAGAUUGAUUUCAGUUUUUAUUGCUAUAAUUUUUCAUUAUUAAUUCAAAAUAAGGCAACACCGUGGGAAGUCUAACGGAUGUCCAAAAAUCAAUCAUCAUAGGUUCUUUGUUGGGAGAUGGAUACAUGCGCUGUAAGCGCAAUGCUUACUUGCAAAUUUGUCACUCAAUUAAGCAAAAAAUGUAUGUUGAUUGGAAAUAUUCAUUCCUAAAGCAAUAUGUAAAGAAUAGGCCAAAAGCUUAUCAG